AAUCUGCGCGGGGAGCCACGGGGGACGUAGCGGCUGGCGGCCCGCUGCCGCUCCAUAGCAAACCCGGGACGGCCUCGCAUGCACGGGAACCAUGCGAGAAAGACGAUGGCAUGAUGGCCAAAAACCCACAGGUCAUGGAAGAUUAUAGAAAAGCGGUUGAGAAAAAGAAGAAACGUGAGCAAGCCGCCGCUGAGGGCGGUAAUCAAGACGAUACCGGCAGUAGUACGUCUGGGGACAAGGUUGAGGGCAAGGCGCCUGCUAAACCAUAGAUGUCACCUGCACCACCUCCUUCCUACAGGUGCCUUAUGCUUUACACGAAGGUGACCCUGCUGAUGCAAUACCUUUAUACUGAAUUGGAGGUGCUACAUAAUAAUAAGGUGCCAACCUUUUACUGCCUUACACUAGUUAUACUAUUAAAUUACUUUAUGGUAUAUUUUUAUAUUCUUAUGGAAGCACAUCCUAUAAGUGAUUUCUAUUAGCGUUGUAAACAACGCAUCGAUUUCGUUAAGCUUCAAACCAUACGGUUAUGUUUACCUUUUUUGCAAUGUGAAAAACCGAAGAAGCCAAGUGGGUGCUUGUCUAAGGUGUCAGUUUUGUUUCUAAAAACAUUGUUACAUUAUUAGCUAUUUUUUUCGAACAAUAAUAGGUAAAAUACAUUUUUAAAUUGUAUUGUAUACGUUGAUUACUCAAUUGUUUCUUCAUGAUUUUCUUUUCAAUUGGCUGAUCAACUCAUCGUUGCCAUUACCAAAUGUUUUAUGAGGCUUUCUACCUUUUCAAAAUGACAACGAUAACAAUGACGAUUUAAGCCAUAUCUUGAUAGGCACACUUCCAAAUCAUGUUCGGUAAAUGAACAGCCCAAGAUGCACUCGGCUAGAAUUUAAAACAAACUUUUCCUUGAAUUUUGUUGGAAUUUCCACGACAUCAAAUUUGAAAACUGCGAAUAUAAAGGCAUGCUGAUUGGUUGGGCCACAGGUUACUCAUGAAAUAUUCAUUAAGAUGGAGGGUGGGAGGAGUGCAGUGACAGGAUUAUAGUGUUGCAUUUUUCUAUGCAAAUACAGUAAUAUGCAAAUAAGACUAUUUUAAGCAAUUUUUAGCCUAUUAUUAAGCCACUGAGACUUGAUACUGGGUUUCAACACCACUGCCGAAAGUCCACGUUGUAGCUGUAUUAAAAUGUCCCAUGUUAGAUUCCACCCGGAAUCCGGGUCAGAGUUGAUCUCACAAAUUUCUGGAUCAAAAUGUCAGUUUUUCGUGAAAAUCUGACACUUUCCGGGUCAAAAUGACAUAAGUGUGUGUCAAAAUGACAUAAGUGUGUGUCAAAAUGACAUUUGUGUGUGUCAAAAUGACAUUUGUGGGUGUGUCACAAUGACAUUUGUGUGUGUCAAAAUUACUCUUUUCCGGGUCAAUGGCCCAGAGAAGUGUCGUUUGACCCAGAAGAGUGUCGGGGCUGUCGGGUGAAAUUUGACCCGGAUGUGGGUCAAAUCUGACGCGUGAUAUCUUUCUUUAGAGUGCAUUGAAGCAUGUAGUUGUCCAUUCCUCCUUUGUGUUUAAGCCUAAGGAUUUAUGUCAAACAAAAAUGUGUUUACCUACGAGGGGAAUAGUAACAACAGCACAUUUGCAAUAAGCACUGCCUUUAAGUGUCCUGUAGAACCAUUUUACCGACGGAAUGACUGUUUUUUCCACGCACCAAACCACACGGUGAACCGCCUUGAGAAUAGUACAGAUGCCUUUCAAAAUAUUCCGUUAGAACCUUCUAUUAUACAUAUAAUGGGGAACAAAUCCAUUUGCAUGAUUAAAUCGAAUCGAGAACGGAACAAAUGGAUCGUCAGUCGUAUUGUAAAAGAAUUGAUACUGUAUUUUAAUUCAAUUCAAUUCAAACUCUCAUUUAUUUUCAUACCAAAAUGAGAAUUACAAGAAUUACAAGCAGAACACACGAUUAAGUACAUAAAUCAUUUUAGUUCUUUGUAUAUCGUUUUAUUAAUUUCAAAAUAAAAUUUGAGUUGAUUGCAUAUACUUUGCUAUAUUUCAA
rnacentral:misc_RNA from 1 species